GACAGAGGGUGCAAACGUUGUUCGGAAUUACUGGGCGUAAAGCGAGUGUAGGCGGUUUCCUAAGUCGGAUGUGAAAGCCCCGGGCUCAACCCGGGAAGUGCACUCGAAACUGGGAGGCUAGAGUAUCGGAGAGGUUGGUGGAAUUCUCGGUGUAGAGGUGAAAUGCGCAGAUAUCGGGAGGAACACCUAUGGCGAAGGCAGCUCGCUGGGACGUUACUGACGCUGAGACGCGAAAGCGUGGGGAGCAAACAGG
rnacentral:rRNA from 1 species